UUGAUUAGUCCUUUCCGCAACAAGGUUUAUACGUCUGACCCAGCCAUUGUUUAAGACCGAUGACAAAAGUUAUGUUAAGUUGAAGAAAGAAGACAUUCUAUCAGGGUUUCUGCAAAUCAACAAGACACAUCCAACAUACUAAGAGAGACAUAAUCCGAAUUCACUUAUUUCGAGCCCGGAUUUUGACUCUGGUGACAACAUGUGCGGGGUUGUUGCUCUUGCUUUGGGCUUGUGUUGGGCCUUCAACUGUCAUGUUGCGACAGGUCAUGAAGUACCAAAAGAGAGCACUGAGCUUUUGAUCAAGAGAUUCUGUUUGAGAGGAUAGUGAAAGAAAUCACUUAGGUCUUCAAACAGAUGCUCUGCAGCGGCUGGCUCUCUAGGAGGCAGCUGAAGCAUACCUUGUUGGACCCAUUGAGGACUCUAAUCUGUGUGCGGUUCAAUGCUAAAAGAGUAAAGAUCAUGCCUAAGUUUAUAGAUCUGUAACGCUAGUAUGUAGAUCUGAACUGU
rnacentral:lncRNA from 1 species